rnacentral:tRNA from 1 species
UUGGGAUAGCUCAGUGUAGAGCAGAAGUCCGCU